GCGCAGUCAAAUGGUCUAACCAAGUUUUCUUCAAUCCUCUGUUCUACAUUCUGGUUUUGAUGCCUUGCUGCCUUCGACAUUAAGGUGGGAAGCUUGGCUGAUUCCACCUUCAGUCAGAAGAUUAAUACAUCUAUGGUUUUAUUUUCCAUGCCAAUAGCUUGAUUAAUGAUUCCUAAUGCAUCUCAGAAAUAAUUGUUUCUGGAGGAAUGACCAUGCCACAGGUGAUUAUCGCUCUAGGACCUGCCCUUGAUAAGAACCAGGGAACCCAUUUAAACAGAAUGAUGAUUGUGUGAGCCUUUAAAUAGCGCCAACACAUCAGGUAUUGGCAUCUAGAUGAUUAGAACUACUAAAGGAACACCCAAGUCGUAGAUGAUCUACAUUUGAUGUAUGAUUUGAAGAUUAGAAGCUGGAGCACAAGGAUUGUGUGAUGGAGUAAACAUUGGUUAUAUAUUUUAGGCGGGUCAGAUAUUAAAGUGGGGUGCUCACACCGCACUUAGGUGGCUUACGGAGAUUACCGAAAUUGGUUUGUGGGUGUUGUGUGCU